rnacentral:lncRNA from 10 species
CUCCACGUGGACCCCAGUGAAGGAGGGAGAAGUGUGCUUGUUCUGUCUAGCUUUGAUUUUGUGGAACAGAGACUGGGUCUCACUACAUUGGCCAGGCCGGAUUUGAAUUCCUGGGCUCAGCCUCCCGAGUAGCUGGGACUACAAGCAUGUACCACCAUGCCCAGUUUUCUGCAGCAGUUUUUAUAAACCAAAUUUUCCAAAUUAGAAAGACUGACCAAAGAAGCACUUUUAUACGAGGAAUAACUUACGUAUGGAGAAUCUCAACUUGGACCAGUCAAGACCAACUCCAGCGAUGAAGCCAGAAUGUAAUAUAUCUCAAAAGGCUAAAGAAGUCCAUUUUCCCAGAUGUAAAUUAUAAUUAAAAAAUAGUGAGCCAAACUCUAAUAUCCCAAUGUGAUAAUCUUUCAAAUAAAAAUAUGGGCUGUAGUUCAGGAAAAAAGUGGCUUCUCUAUAAUUA